CCUCUCCUCUCAGCACUCAAUCCCGGCGAGUGCAGGCAUCACUGAAGACCUGACACCGGCUGAAUCGGACGUCCACUGUCCUCGGCAGAAUUAAUCAGGUGUUAUCUUAUACAAACUGUAUCGCCAUCAGAUGAAGCUGACCAUCCUGCGAAUGAGAAUGAGUCCGCUUCGCCGGAGGAACAGACUUUUUUUCCGUCUCCAAACGACCGGAGAGGCGCAAGGGCGAGAAAAUAACGCCCAAAAGUUAUUGAAAUGAAUCGACCUGGCACGAGAAGAAGAAACAGAACAAGCGCUUGCAGCGUUAGCAGAGGGAAGGAAGAGAAGCAGAAGAGCAAACGAGAAAAAGACAAGAGCGAUGAAAGAGAGGUCCAGACAUGAAGGAGGCACGCAUUUACACACACACGUGCAACGGCACCUAAAGUCUGUCUGCGGUCUACCACCACCACCACCCUGCCACACACACGCACACACACACAUGCCUUUUACGCUGGAAUGGCGUCUCCGUCUUUAUCUGCUGCCCUGUGAUUACAGACACAAUCAACACACACACACACACACACACACACACACACACACACACACAGCCGGAGGCGCGUGAGCAGGUGAGCAUUAAGUCAGGCAGCUAAACAGAUCACGUCGCGGUAUGAUAUCUGCAGACAGGCAGACAGAGGAGGCCGGUCUGUACCUGCAGGCAGAGAGCAACAACUCCCAGCACACUCGCUAGGAAUUUUCAGUGACAGACAUAAACUGGGGUUUCCACUGAAGCCAAAUAGUUAAAGCCUGAUUUGAAAAAGACACAUUUGCUUAUGAAAUAAUGAGAGGCCUGUAUUUCAGCCCAGAAUCUCAUGAAAAGAUUUCAAAAGAGGCUUUUGUUGGUUCUAUUUUUAUUUUUUUACCCAGAACUCUUAUACAUGUUGCCUACAGUGCAUUAAAAACUUUUGUGUUUUUAAAGAACUUUUAACAUUAACUAAAUUUAGCUAACAAUAAAGGAUGUUAAUGUCAUUACUCAGUUCAUCACUGUCUUGAUUAUAACAUUUAAAUGUUUUAUUGAGCUUUAGAUUUCAGCUUGUAUGUAGGGAGUUCUGCAUAUAUCUUUUUAGCGUAUAGUUUUCAUAUUCAACCCAGUUCAUUAUAAAAAAAAAAACGUCUCAUAUAGAUGCAAUUUGUUUUGUUUGAUCUAUGUUUUUUUUUCCAAGCAAAGGUUUGCUUUUGCAUGCCCAAAAUUAUUGUUGUGGAGUGAUAAUAAUGUAAGGCUACACCUUGGGGAUAGUGAGAUGGGAGAGUGUCCAAAUACGCCCCUUCCUUUGGUCGCAUGUUUAGCCUAACAUUCUCCCUUCACCUCAGUUGAUGAAAGGAUAUCCUUUGACAUUAAUGGAGAACAGCACAUUCACACGCUACUGUAAUAUCGAGUAGAGAUGGUUCUUUUGUUAUUUCGGAGUAAUUCGAUAACCUCCAGUAUGAUUUGUCAUUCUGGAAUUACUAGGGUGUUUUGACAUUGUCGGCAGUACUAAUUGUGAAACUGACAGUAUCCGUUACACAUACUUGUUCUGUUAGUUUGCUUUUGUUAGCACUCCUUGGAGCAGCUUUGACAUUUUUUUUUACAGCUUUCUUUCAUUCACAAUCUGCUCAGCAUAUGUGGCCUUUAUCUGUGGCGUCCUGUAUCACAUUCAUAGUAAUUAUUUUUUGGGAGAUGCCCAUUGCAGUUUUGGUUUUCUACUGAGCAGCGUCACUGAACCAGCUGUUAUGUUGUUGCUCAAGACAACCUCCACAGUAGUUACUAAAUAAGGAUGAGCUAUCAGUUCAUGUGUCCUGCACAGAUUUUCGCAAGUAGUCCUGCAAUUUACUGCACCUUAAAGCCACAAACUUGCUUCUCUUCUUUUCCAUCUUUCCUUAAAUUGAAGUUGUUUCUCCCAUUAGGCAGAUCGGCCAUGUUCUGUGAUCACCAUUAUUUCUUAGCUGAGGUUUUUCUUGUCUUUUUCAAAGCUCUUUAUAUUUAGCCAUAAAAACACCUUAUGAAUUUUUUACAAGUCACAACUCUCCCCACACAACUACCACAUCCACUUAUCUGAAAAUGAUUCAGUGGUUAAAUGUCAGAGCUGUCUGUGCCAUUAAGGCCAGCAUGUUUGAAGGAAGGACACCCUUGCCUGCCCUCUCCAUCCUCCCCCCUCUGUCUCUUCUUAUUUCUCUCCCUUCUCCUUCCUCUCUCCCCUUA